UGCAAAACAAAGAGGGGCUUUGCCCUGCCGGACUUAAAGUUGUAUUACGAAGCCGCAGCGUUCUGCUGGCUAAAAGAUUGGCUACUUCUUGAAGACACUGAUGUGUUAGAUUUGGAAGGGUUUAACAAUGUUUUUGGAUGGCAUGCAUAUUUAUGGUAUGACAAAGUUAAAGCAAAUAAGGCCUUUAAGAACCAUAUUGUUAGAAAAUCACUGUUUAAUGUCUGGACAAAAUAUAAAGACUUGCUGGAAAAUAAAACACCAAGGUGGCUUUCACCUUUGGAAGCUAAGGCCCGAAAAAGACCCAAUAUGGAGGCCAAAUGGCCAAAAUAUUGGGAAAUACUAGAAAAGAUGGAGACAAUUGGAAAUUGCAGAGUUUGGAGAAAAUGAAAGACAAAGUGCGAGAUUGGUUACAUUAUGCUCAGAUUAAAGAAGUUUUUAAAAAUGAUAAGAAACUAGGGUUCCAGGUGGAGAAAUCGAAAUUAGAAACAGAAUUGUUAGAACCAAAGAUUAAGAUACUUUCAAGGAUGUAUAACUUGCUGUUGGAAUGGAAUACACAAGAUGAAAUGGUUAAAUCGGCUAUGAUAAGGUGGGCACAGGAUAUUGGGCAUAAUAUUAUGUUUGAGGACUGGGAAAGGCUGUGGAGUAAUGGAUUGAAAUUUACUGCAUGUAAUGCUUUGAAAGAAAAUGUAAUGAAAAUGAUUUAUAGAUGGUAUAUGACCCCAGUCAAACUCGCAAAAAUUUACCACCUGUCUGAUAACAAGUGCUGGAAAUGUAAAGAGUGUGAAGGAACGUUCUUUCACCUCUGGUGGACCUGCCCUAAAGUGAAGGCGUUCUGGGAAAUGAUUUAUAAUGAAUUGAAAAAGGUAUUUAAAUAUACUUUCACUAAGAAACCAGAGGCUUUCCUUUUGGGUAUUGUCAGCCAAGGGGUGGCAAAGAAGGACCAAACAUUUUUUAUGUAUGCAACAACAGCAGCAAGGAUACUACUCGCAAAACAUUGGAAAACUCAAGAUCUACCCACACUGGAAGAAUGGCAGAUGCAACUGAUAGACUAUAUGCAACUGGCUGAAAUGACUGGCAGAAUCCGUGACCUGGGAGAAGAGAGAAUCGAGGAGGAUUGGAAGAAAUUUAAGAACUACCUACAAAAACAUUGUGAUUUGACUGAAUGCUGAAUAAGAUGCUAGACUAAAUAACUGAGCACCACUUAACUUAGAAGUUUUUAAGAAAAUAAGAAAAACUGUGAAAGUUUAACUCUUUAUGAGAACUAUAAGAUCAUGAAAUAUCGAAGAGAUAUAAGAAUUUAAAUAAGAUGAUAAAUUGCUGACAAAAUGUUAUAAUGAUGAAGGUGGGAGCGGGAGAUGUGAGGAAGUCCAAAGAAAAUGUGAAAUUAUGUUAAGACGAAUGUUAUAUUGUUUAUUACAUUUAUUCCUAUUGUAAAAUCCAAUAAAUUGC